rnacentral:rRNA from 1 species
AGCAUAUCAAUAAGCGGAGGAAAAGAAACUAACAAGGAUUCCCCUAGUAACUGCGAGUGAAGCGGGAAAAGCUCAAAUUUAAAAUCUGGCAGUCUUUGAUUGUCCGAGUUGUAGUCUGGAGAAGUGCUUUCCGCGCUGGACCGUGUACAAGUCCCUUGGAACAGGGCGUCAUAGAGGGUGAGAAUCCCGUCUUUGACACGGACUACCAGUGCUUUGUGAUGCGCUCUCAAAGAGUCGAGUUGUUUGGGAAUGCAGCUCAAAAUGGGUGGUAAAUUCCAUCUAAAGCUAAAUACAGGCGAGAGACCGAUAGCGAACAAGUACCGUGAGGGAAAGAUGAAAAGCACUUUGGAAAGAGAGUUAAACAGUACGUGAAAUUGCUGAAAGGGAAACGCUUGAAGUCAGUCGCGUCUUUCGGAAAUCAGCCUUGCAUUUAUUUGUUUGGUGUAUUUUCUGUUUGACGGGCCAACAUCGAUUUUAAUCGUUGGAUAAAGAUAAAGGAAAUGUGGCACCUUCGGGUGUGUUAUAGUCUUUUAUUGCAUACAACGGUCGGGAUCGAGGAACUCAGCACGCCUUUAUUGGUCGGGGUUCGCCCACGUUUCGUGCUUAGGAUGUUGGCAUAAUGGCUUUAAACGACCCGUCUUGAAACACGGACCAAGGAGUCUAACAUACCUGCGAGUGUUUGGGUGUUAAACCCGAGCGCGUAAUUAAAGUAAUAGUUGAGAUCCCCCUUAAAAGGGAGCAUCGACGCCCGGACUUGACCUUUUGUGAUAGCUCUGCGGUAGAGCAUGUAUGUUGGGACCCGAAAGAUGGUGAACUAUGCCUGAAUAGGGUGAAGCCAGAGGAAACUCUGGUGGAGGCUCGUAGCGAUUCUGACGUGCAAAUCGAUCGUCAAAUUUGGGUAUAGGGGCGAAAGACUAAUCGAACCAUCUAGUAGCUGGU